rnacentral:lncRNA from 1 species
UAUUCUGUAUAAUUUUAAAAAGUAAAGUUAGAUAAUUUAUUGGCACAAUAUUAAGUUGGGCAGAAAAUACAAAAGCGCUUUCCAAUUGUAAGUAUUCUAUGACAUAUAAAAAAUAUUCUGAUUGUAUAAAAUUUGGGGCAAAUUUGAGGCAAAACUAACAUUUAAGGUUGAGAUAUGAGAAGGUAGCAAUCCAUUCUCUUGAGGCAGUCCCUGCAGCAGAUUUCAGUAAAAGAGUAUGAACGGAAUAGACCACGUGGCAGACUUAGCAAGAAACGGGAAAAAUCCGCCUAUAGUGGUCCAUGAAAACAGACAAGAAAUAUGAGUAAGAGGUCAGAAAACAGAAAACAGAAGCUGGCUGAUGCAUACAAGUCAAACAUAGCAAAAUGUUAUAAGUAAUUAACUCUUUUAAAAUGUAUUUUUAUUAGGGUCCUUUAAAAAAUAAUAUAAGCAUUCAUUUAUUAUUUUAUAUUAGAAAACUUAGUAUAGCAGUAAAACAGAUAAACUAACAUUUCCUUGAUGUUUUCAAUAAUUUCUUAUAUAAAUCAUUUCACACCAUUUACCAUAAAGACAAACUAAAACAAAAUGCAGACUUUGUGUUUCUUUUAAUUUAUUGUGCAUAGAGUUCAUGGUCUAUAGUACCUUCCAGAUAUCAUCCUAUACAUAUUUGGAAUGCUCUAAGAGGAAAUCAGACUAUUACAGAUUUUGUGGAAAUUUCCACCCUAUGUUGUUUCUCAGGAGAUUAGAUAUACUCCUUUAAAGGAAAUUGUGGAAAUCUGAAGCAAGAUUUAGAUUCAGAUCUCUGACCCUCAAUAUUCAAAAGCAUCUAUGGGGGCCGGCCUGGUGGCGCAAUGGUUAAGUGUGCACGUUCUGCUUUGGCAGCCCGGGGCUCGCCGCUUUGGAUCCUGGGUGCAGACAUGUCACCGCUUGUCAAGCCAUGCCGUGGUAGGUGUCCCACAUAUAAAGUAGAGGAAGAUGGGCACAGAUGUUAGCUCAGGGCCAGUCUUCCUCAGCAAAAGAAGAGGAGGAUUGGUGGUAGAUGUUAGCUCAGAGAUAAUCUUCCUCAAAAAUUAAAAAAAACACCUAUGAGAAAUCCAAACACAAAAUAG